ACAGGCUCACGCUCACGUCGGCGCCAUUUUCCCGCUUCUCAGAUCUCGCGAGAUAUGGGGUGUGGCCUAGUUCUGGGCGCCUCUCUAGGAGGCGGGGCCUGAGACUAGGCUGCUGUUCUUAGUCAGGAGCAGUUGUAUGACAAGACUUUUUCCCAGGAAGAUACCAACAUUUCUACUCACCUUAAAGAGCCCAGGACAGAGCAAAGUAUGAAUAACACCAAAGUCCACCAUGGGUACAGUGCCUAUGGAAUGCCUAUACAGAGACACAGACCCAGGCAUGAGCGGAAAUCUACACAAGACAGAACUUUAUUAAUGGAAGGCUUCUUGGUGAGGAGUGUGU